GAGAGUCAAUCUUCAAAAUGAACACAAAAGUCGCCAUUUGUCUGAUCCUUCCCUGUAUCAUCGCACUGGUUUCCUGUGCUUAUUUACCUGGUAACUAUGGAUACCAACAACCAAGACAGGUGGCUCCUUAUGCAAACUAUGCUGCCAAUAGUUACCAGGGUCUAAAACAGGCUAGACUCUUCAACUAUCUUCUCGGAGGAUUAUACUUCUUAAACCUCUUCAACUUCACUGGAAACAGAAUUGCUGGUUAGAGAAAAUUUUCAUGAGCUUUUAUAAGGUUAGCAAGCAGUAUGCUGUACAGUCAUAGUAAAGAUAUAUGCCAUAGUGUCGAACAUCUUACAUUAGAUCAGAAUACCUUAUAGCAUCGUGUCAAUUCAGUUGUUAACAAAAUACCAUGUGCAAACACUUCAGUCCUGGUGAACAUUUUUUUCAAAGAUCGUAUUACCCAGAUCGAAGUUGUCUGUAGAUUAAUGUCUUGUUUGUUUAGGCACUACUUAAACAUUGUUGAUGUAAAAUGUUUUACAAAUGUAAAUAAAAGAUUUGUCUCUACCAA